rnacentral:rRNA from 1 species
UGUUUCGGCUAGGGGGCCAUCCCGGCUUACCAACCCGAUGCAAACUGCGAAUACCGGAGAAUGUUAUCACGGGAGACACACGGCGGGUGCUAACGUCCGUCGUGAAGAGGGAAACAACCCAGACCGCCAGCUAAGGUCCCAAAGUCAUGGUUAAGUGGGAAACGAUGUGGGAAGGCCCAGACAGCCAGGAUGUUGGCUUAGAAGCAGCCAUCAUUUAAAGAAAGCGUAAUAGCUCACUGGUCGAGUCGGCCUGCGCGGAAGAUGUAACGGGGCUAAACCAUGCACCGAAGCUGCGGCAGCGACACUCAGGUGUUGUUGGGUAGGGGAGCGUUCUGUAAGCCUGCGAAGGUGGCCUGUGAGGGUUGCUGGAGGUAUCAGAAGUGCGAAUGCUGACAUAAGUAACGAUAAAGCGGGUGAAAAGCCCGCUCGCCGGAAGACCAAGGGUUCCUGUCCAACGUUAAUCGGGGCAGGGUGAGUCGACCCCUAAGGCGAGGCCGAAAGGCGUAGUCGAUGGGAAACGGGUUAAUAUUCCCGUACUUGGUGUUACUGCGAAGGGGGGACGGAGAAGGCUAUGUUGGCCGGGCGACGGUUGUCCCGGUUUAAGCGUGUAGGUGUGUGUUCCAGGUAAAUCCGGUUCACUUUAACACUGAGGCGUGACGACGAGGCACUACGGUGCUGAAGCAACAAAUGCCCUGCUUCCAGGAAAAGCCUCUAAGCAUCAGGUAACAUCAAAUCGUACCCCAAACCGACACAGGUGGUCAGGUAGAGAAUACCAAGGCGCUUGAGAGAACUCGGGUGAAGGAACUAGGCAAAAUGGUGCCGUAACUUCGGGAGAAGGCACGCUGACACGUAGGUGAAGUGAUUUACUCAUGGAGCUGAAGUCAGUCGAAGAUACCAGCUGGCUGCAACUGUUUAUUAAAAACACAGCACUGUGCAAACACGAAAGUGGACGUAUACGGUGUGACGCCUGCCCGGUGCCGGAAGGUUAAUUGAUGGGGUCAGCGCAAGCGAAGCUCCUGAUCGAAGCCCCGGUAAACGGCGGCCGUAACUAUAACGGUCCUAAGGUAGCGAAAUUCCUUGUCGGGUAAGUUCCGACCUGCACGAAUGGCGUAAUGAUGGCCAGGCUGUCUCCACCCGAGACUCAGUGAAAUUGAACUCGCUGUGAAGAUGCAGUGUACCCGCGGCAAGACGGAAAGACCCCGUGAACCUUUACUAUAGCUUGACACUGAACAUUGAGCCUUGAUGUGUAGGAUAGGUGGGAGGCUUUGAAGUGUGG